rnacentral:lncRNA from 1 species
CACAGCUAAGUGCCCAGAUUCGAUGCUGUUCUGGGUUCUAACAGGUGUUCCGUGUGACCUGCAUUCGACCCCCAUUCCAGACAUGAGCACGUGUGGUCCCUGCCCCACUGUCCCUGGAUGCCGUGCACAGCCUCCGCUCACGGCUGGUCUCCCCACUGAUGCCCUUUCCACACGCAGGAUGCCCUCCCUGGAAAACACAGACCCAUGAGCGUGCAUCUCAAUCACGAAGCAGAAGGUAAAUCAAAACUCAGGUUGAGCUGAUGUGAAGACAGACACGGGGGGUGCAGGGUGGGGCCUCUCACCGGCUUGUGGGUCUGAGCGCCAUUUCUGACCUUGACAAGGAGGUCGGGCUGGAGGGAGAUUUUUCAGGGUGUUUGUUUCAACCAGAAACCGAUUUGGCAGCUAGCUCCUUAUUGUGUGUGGGUAGGGGGUGGUUUUUGUUUUUGUCUCGUUUUGCUUUUCCCUUUAAAAGAUCUGGUAAUGCUACCAUUUGGUUCCAAGUGUGCCACAGACAUUUGGAAACAUUUGGAGACCCGUCUUUCUGUUCUGCCUGUAUCUCCAGCCCAAACAGCUGUUCUAGACUUCAAUUACCUCUUGAAAAGCUAUAAAUCAAAGAUGCAAACAAUGAUAUGCUGAAGGUCUUUUGCUCAGACGAGCCGCCCUGGGCCUUGGGGCGCUCCACUCACUGGACAUCUGUGCCCUUGUUACACGUAAUUGUUACGUUUUGAGGGCGAGUGGGGUCUCUGAAGUCGUCUGUGACAUAGCCCUGUUUAUUAGCUGAGGAAAUCCGACCGAACGUGUAUUUCUAUCUGGCACAAUUUAACCAGCCCUCACUGGGUAGAUCUCUUGCAGGGUGGCAUUGCUGUGUUCAACCAACCGUGUCACAAAGGCUGCGACCAGGUUCUAUUUGGGGGUCACUGAGGAGCAAGAAGAAAUUGUUCUUUGGCUAUUUGUCUGCAACAUUGAAAAGGAUGUCCUAGCUCAUCGAGAACUAACGGGCUUUCCUGGAGCCCUGGGCUACAGACUGGGGGAUGGAAGGCACAGAGGACCAGAAUCCAAACAUGUCACCAGAACCGGGCAGGAAGUUUUCAUGCUGUCAACAAACUCGCAGGGAGACAAUUUGCAGCUGAGAAAACGGCUCCGAGUUUUCCCAGAAAAGUUUAAACGGAAGCAUUUGAAUCAGGCGUUUUGUCACUUUCCAGAGGACAUUUUGGACGUGCUCCUUACAAAUAAGUUGAAUCCGGUAUUUUUCCAGAUGUCUCCAUACCUGUUUGCUUACAGCAGAGCCCCUGCUUGACUUCUUGUUUUAAGGG